UUGACCUCGGAUCAGGUAGGGAUACCCGCUGAACUUAAGCAUAUCAAUAAGCGGAGGAAAAGAAACCAACAGGGAUUGCCCUAGUAACGGCGAGUGAAGCGGCAACAGCUCAAAUUUGAAAUCUGGCUCUUUCAGAGUCCGAGUUGUAAUUUGCAGAGGGCGCUUUGGCUUUGGCAGCGGUCCAAGUUCCUUGGAACAGGACGUCACAGAGGGUGAGAAUCCCGUACGUGGUCGCUAGCUAUUGCCGUGUAAAGCCCCUUCGACGAGUCGAGUUGUUUGGGAAUGCAGCUCUAAAUGGGGAGGUAAA
rnacentral:rRNA from 1 species